rnacentral:lncRNA from 1 species
UAUGCAGUCAUUAAAAGAAUAUAAAUUGUUCAUUUUUCUGUAGAAUAUCCCAUUUAUGUAUUAAAAGGUAUACACGGGAUCUAAGCAGCGUUCACAGCUUGCCACUUGGGGUAAGAAGCAGGAGGGACGGGGCCUGUGCCUGAGGGGGCAACCACAUCAGUCCUGAAUAACCCUGCUGCAUCUCAAUCUCUCAUGCGUGACUCGUGUCAUAAAAACACUGGCAAUUGGUCACUUCCUCUGAACUCCUCCCUAAAAGGCACUAAAGAAAACAAGCCUGGAUUCAACUCAGAGCAUAUUAUGACAAGGUUGGAGGAGAAACAUUCCCUUCCCAUACAAAAUGAACUGUUGCCUGUCCCAGUAAGAAAAGGAGUUCCACUUCUUCCAACAGCUGUACCAAAGAGGAAAUCAUUUCUGAAAUUGCCAGAGUCACUUCACAAAUCCCAAGAGGAAAUGCAUGUCCCAACUCAGUAGCCAUAUCUCAUUGCCCAAAUUAUCACAGACACCCCACCACCUUUUCACAGCUCCCUCCUGCAAAGAGUUCUGGGCUCCCUUCCAGGAAAUCAAAGCUGCCUUAGGAGAUGACCAUAAAAUUAUAAUGACCUCCAGUUUACAGAAGAGAAAGUGAAGACUUCUUAAGCCACAGCCCGUUUUAUAAUGCCAAGCCGUGUUCCUUUUUCCAUUUCUAAGGUGGUCCAACACAGGGUACAGGGGCCAAGAAGAAGCAAGCAGGGAAAAGGUGUCAAGAGGAUUGGCAGGAGUGUGGGAAUAAGCCACUGUGGCUCAGAUUCGGGAAAGGCAACAGCAGCAAGUGUUUGAAAGUG